UGAUAAUGCUUUAAUUCUGGCACCAGGAAGUAAGGUUUUUUUUAUUUUUAUUUUUAUUUUUAUUUUUAUUUUUAUUUAUGGUUUAAUUUGAUCUGAGCCAGUGUCUUUUGGUAGUGACUUUUUCUGAGUGUAUGUGAUAAUUGUACUCAGUCCAGAAUCACAAGAUUCAUUAUAGGAUUGAUGGGCUCUUUUCUUUGGCUUCUCUGUCUAGAGAAGUCUAGAGAACUUCUUAGGAAGUUCUGAAAGAUGUCAUGUCCCUGAUAAAGGGUCUUUCCCCCAAGAUGUGUCUUCUGAGCAACUUGCUUGUGUGAAUGUGUGCAUUCUGUCGUCUUCUCUCGUAAACAUAAAGCUGACUGCUGAUUUAUAUAGGUCACGGGAUAUUCCCCUUUACUUUAAGCUGUAGUGCAUCUGAAAUGUAGAAGGAGCUAUAACAGGUACUUGGUCAAAGACAGCCGAAACAAUUUACUUUUGUCUUGUGGCCUCUGUAGGUGUGGGAGGGAAGACAUGCAGUAUUAGGCUACAUCUUGGCAUUUUCUUCCAGAUUGAGCCUGUGGGUGUGACACCUAGUCUCAGCCCUCACAUAAGUAAACUCAAACUUUGUGACACCAGCUGUAGCACUCAAGGAGCCAGGCUUCCCUCUAUAGUAGGGUUAGCAUGAUUAGCCCCUUAACAUGCUCACUUGGCUCCUACAGUCGCAGAGCAGCAUUGGACAAAGCUGCUCCUCUACAGUACUUCCUGGAGGCUCUGAAACGCCUCACCUUAGGUUCACAUAAGGUGAGUCUGAGAGAGUAUGAGGACUUAGGAACUUACUGGUUUUAGCUAGUGCAUCUAGACCAUAAUGUCUGCUGUUUUGGGGUUUUUUCCCCACUGAAUCCAGUCUGUGCAAGUAAAUAGCCCAGAGCAGUUAACUGUAUUGUCCUUGGAAAAGGGUUCUAAAACUAACCCUUUUUUCCGUGUGAUUACUUUCUCCUUUAGUAGCACCUGAGAACCACUCUUUCCGUUUCUAGGACCAAACAGAAUUCCUUUGUUGUGUAAAUAAGUAACCUUGGGUUCAUUUGCAUUACAGCCUUAGGUGAAAGGUGAAUGGGCUGGUUCUGUCAGCCAUGGGGCCCCUGGGGAAGGAAGCCAAUGCCAAGAAAAUUGAAGCAUCCAACGAGGGUUACAGAGUACCCUGGAUUGUCAGAGCAGUGAUGGCUGGGAAGAAGUUCUUUGAAGAAAUUCUCUUGAAGAUUACUUGGGGUGCCAUUGUUUUAUAAGAUUUCUUCUUUUUUUGGCAUGUCAAGUGGUAGGGACUAAAGGUAGAACUAACUACAUGUAGAACUAAACAGUAUUUGAAACUUGAAACAAACUAGCAUCAGGAGCCUACUUUGUCAGUCACCUCUUGUUUGUAUGCUCUAGCCAGCUCUUUAUACCACUGAUCCUUAUGAAACCCAUGUUAAGCUCAGGCCUUAGGAUCUGAGAAGAUCACAGUGUCGCAUUGCUGCUUAUUUGUGUAUGUGGGGGAGUGUAUGCGUAUGUGUAUAAUGACAUUAUAAUCCUAGGAUUCUCUGUGUGUGUGUGUGUGUGUGUGACUGACUGAUGAUUGAACAUGCCAAGCCAAGAGUUGUAGCCAGGAUUACAGACAUAUACCUCCAUUCCUGGUUUAUCUGCUGUCAUUUUUCAUCUGAACAAGAAAUUUACUAGCAAAAGCUGCUGCUCUCCAUCUGCAGCCCUUCAGUAUUGUUAGUGCUGUGGAAGGAGACUGGCUUCAUAGAAACUUUGGUUGACCGACACUGUUGGCUGUCCUGCUUGUCAGCCGUGGGUAUCCUUUGUUGCUGCUUUUGAGGAUGUCUUGGCUGGACGACCUUGGUGCUCAUUGGCUCCUUCUAGACUGGCAAGGCAACCUUGUAGCCAGCUUUCAUGUUUCCUCACUCUGGGGAGUUAUGGUUGAUCACUUGAAUUUCGUGUGUAUUUGUUUGGUUUCUAGCCUUUAAUUUGCCCUGCGACCACUUGUGGCUCAGGGUUAGCCAGGCCCAUAGUUAAAGAACAACAUAGUUGCUAGCCCUGAGCUAAAGUCCUUUUUCCCCUUUUAUUUCUGCUUCCUCUUCACAGACUAAUUACCAGCUGCUGCUGUUCUUGUUAAACUUCAUUAAUCCUGAGCCUCUGUCCAUAGAAAUGGCCUUAAGAUAAAAAGACCCUCAACUAAACAUUUUGUUGCUGCUGCUAAUUGCCCCAAAUUACAUGUUUUUAUUAAUUAAGCACGGCUUGCCUCCAAAUCCUAUUGAAGAAUGUUUCCAUGACUCCCCUGAAUACACACAUGCUGCUUUGUGGUUUCAUAUUUUGGUGGGGGUGGAGGUCCCUGAAAUGAUCAUGCCCCAAAACAGGGUAGUUUUAGAAACAUGGUAAAGGGGAAACCCUAUGUAAUCUUAUUCAGAGCCUUAAUUCUACACUGAUAAUGCCUUUAAGCAGAUACAGUGCUGAAGUAUUCCAUGUUUGUUUAAAGUACAUGAUGGCAGACGGUUGCAAAACUAGCUUUCUUAAGUCAUUAUGGGGCUAUGGGGCCCAGCACAUGUUUGUGCAAUUACAUAUUUCUUUCUUCUUCUUUUUUUUUAAUAAGUGUUGCUGUGUGUAGGUUAGGCUGGACUGGGCACUAGUGUUGUCCUUUCCCUUCAGUCUCAUGAGUGCUGGGAUCACAGGCAUAAGACACAUUAGACUAUUUUGGAUGGGAGAGAGAGUGAAAUAUUUUGCAAUGUGACACUUGAAGAUGGAUUUGGAUUUGGAUUAGUAAUGACUGAACAAAGGCCUCCCGAUAGUGCAAGGUUGAUAUAUAUGAGCCUCACAGAUGUCAGGGGAGAGGGACACCUCUCUUAAUGAAUAACUAGAAAAUGGAGGGUUUUCUGGGCUAAUACCACUUAUCAGUGACUGCAUAUCAUAUGAGUUCUUUUGUGAUUGGGUUACCUCACUCAGGAUAUCUUCCAGAUCCAUCUAUUUGCCUAAGAAUUUCACGAAUUCAUUGUUUUUAAUACAAUAGUACUCCAUUGUAUAAUUGUGCCACAUUUUCUGUACCCAUUCCUCUGUUGAGGGGCACCUGGGUUCUUUCCAGCUCCUGGCUAUUAUAAAUAAGGCUGCUAUGAACAUAGUGGAGCAUGUGUCCUUAUUACCAGUUGGAACAUCUUCUGGAUAUUUGCCCAGGAGAGGUAUUGCUGGAUCCUCCAGUAGUACUAUGUCCAAUUUUCUGAGGAACCACCAGACUGAUUUCCAGAGUGGUUGUACAAGCUUGCCAUCCCACCAACAAUGGAGGAGUGUUCCUCUUUCUCCACAACCUCGCCAGCAUCUGCUGUCACCUGAAUUUUUGACCUUAGCCAUUCUGACUGGUGUGAGGUGGAAUCUCAGGGUUGUUUUGAUUUGCAUUUCCCUGAUGAUUAAGGAUGCUGAACAUUUUUUCAGGAGCUUCUCUGCCAUUCGGUAUUUCUCAGAAUUCUUUGUGUAGCUCUGUACCUAUGUUUUAAUGGGGUUAUUUGAUUUUCUGGAGUCCAGCUUCUUGAGUUCUUUGUAUAUAUUGGAUAUUAGUGCCCUAUCAGAUUUAGGAUUGGUAAAGAUCCUUUUCCAAUGUGUUGGUGGUCUUUUUGUCUUAUUGACAGUGUCUUUUGCCUUACAGAAACAAUUAAUUUAUAAAAUUCUUAGGCAAAUGGAUGGAUCUGGAGGAUAUCUUCCUGAGUGAGGUAACCCAAUCACAAAAGAACUCACAUGAUAUGCGCUCACUUAUAAGUGGAUAUUAGCCCAGAAACUUAGAAUACCCAAGAUACAAUCUGCAAAACAAAUGAAACUCAAGAAGAAGGAAGGCCAAAGUGUGGAUACUUCAUCUAGGGAACAAAAUACCCAUGGAAGGAGUUACAGAGACAAAGUUAGGAGCUGAGACAAAAGGAAGGACCACCCAGAGACUGCCACAUCCUGGGAUCCAUUCCAUAAACAGCCACUAAACCCAGACACUAUUGCAUAUGCCAGCAAGAUUUUGCUGGCAGGACCCUGGUAUAGCUGUCUCUUGUGAGGCUAAUACAGUGCCUGGCAAAUACAGAAGUGGAUGCUCACAGUCAUCUAUUGGAUGAAACACAGGGCCCCCAAGAAAGUACCCAAGGAGCUAUAGGGAUCUGCAACCCCAUAGGAGAAACAACAGUGUGAACUAACCAGUACCCCCCAGAGCUCGUGUCUCUAGCUGCAUAUGUAGUAGAAGAUGGCCUAGUUGGCCAUCACUGGGGGGCCCUUGGUCUCACAAAGAUUAUAUGGCCCAGUACAGGGAAAUGCUAGGGCCAGGAAGUGGGAGUGGGUAGAUUGGGGAGCAAGGGGAGGGAAAGGUAUAUGAGACGUUUGGGAUAGCAUUUGAAAUGUAAAUGAAGAAAAUAUCUAAUAAAAAUAAGAAAAUGGAGAAUUUUGGAUGAGGGCGUAUAAAAACUUUCAGUUUAGGGAUUUUCAUGGCAUUAAGUUGCAGGGUAUCUUAAACAUACAUGCAAUCCUGAAUUCCAUUUCCAGCAUCGCAUAAAACUAGUGUAACAGUAACCCCAACCCUCAGAAGUCAGAAGCAGGAAAAUGAUCAAAGUCACCCUCAAACUGCCUACAUAAGACCCAAUUUCAAAAAC
rnacentral:lncRNA from 1 species